rnacentral:rRNA from 1 species
GCUCAAAUUUGAAAUCUGGCGUCCUCAGGGCGUCCGAGUUGUAAUCUAUAGAGGCGUUUUCCGUGCCGGACCGUGUCCAAGUUCCUUGGAACAGGAUAUCAAAGAGGGUGACAAUCCCGUACUUGACACGACGACCGGUGCUCUGUGAUACGUCUUCUACGAGUCGAGUUGUUUGGGAAUGCAGCUCAAAAUGGGUGGUGAGUUCCAUCUAAAGCUAAAUAUUGGCGAGAGACCGAUAGCGAACAAGUACCGUGAGGGAAAGAUGAAAAGCACUUUGGAAAGAGAGUUAAACAGUACGUGAAAUUGUUGAAAGGGAAACGAUUGAAGUCAGUCGUGACCGAGAGGCUCAGCCGGUUCUGCCGGUGUAUUCCCCUCGGUCGGGUCAACAUCAGUUUUGUCCGGUGGAUAAGGACGGUAGGAAGGUGGCACCCUCGGGUGUGUUAUAGCCUGCCGUCGCAUACAUCGGGUGAGACUGAGGAACGCAGCUCGCCUUUAUGGCCGGGGUUCGCCCACGUCCGAGCUUAGGAUGUUGACAUAAUGGCUUUAAACGACCCGUCUUGAAACACGGACCAAGGAGUCUAACAUAUCUGCGAGUGUUUGGGUGUCAAACCCGAGCGCGUAAUGAAAGUGAACGUAGGAGGGAUCCGCAAGGAGCACCUUCGACCGAUCUGGAUCUUCUGUGAUGGAUUUGAGUAAGAGCAUAUAUGCUGGGACCCGAAAGAUGGUGAACUAUGCCUGAAUAGGGCGAAGCCAGGGGAAACUCUGGUGG